AUUGCACGCUGGCGGCAGGCCUAACACAUGCAAGUCGAGCGAGCGGCGGACGGGUGAGUAAUGUCUGGGGACUGCACGAUAGAGGGUGAUAACUACUGGAAACGGUAGCUAAUCCCGCAUACUAUCGGAUAGCCCAUAUGGGAUGAGCUAGUAGGUGAGGUAAUGGCGCAACUAGGCGACGAUCCCUAGCUGGUCUGCGAGGCUGAUCAGCCACCCUGGGACUGGGACACGGCCCAGGCUCCUACGGAGGCAGCAGUGGGGAAUAGUGCACGAUGGGCGCAAGCCUGAGGCAGCCAUGCCGCGUGUAGGAAGAAGGCCCUAGGGUUGUAAAGUACUUUCAGUCGGGAGGCGUUACCGACAGAAGAAGCACCGGCUAACUCCGUGCCAGCAGCCGCGGUAAUAC
rnacentral:rRNA from 1 species